GGAAGGCCUAAUACCCUUACUGUGGGACUGCAGACAUCUUAAUUUUGUGCUUAUUGUCAGAAAACUUCAGAGCCUGCAGGGAAGCUUGCAUGGAGGGGAGGCUGCAGAUGCUCAGAGCUCUUUAUUGCCAGUGUGACCCAGCUCAGUGGCCAGAUGCCUCCUCCUUCAACUUAGCAGACACCCCUCUGGAUUUGGCAAGAGGAGUAACCAAAAAUGCAUCCUGGCUCCACACCUGCAUCUCAUGUGCAUGAGCAGAGACCGGAGGUCAUGCAUGCAGGACGGGAGGCAGCCCAGCAGCAUGGGCAGUGUUUGUAGUAGAGCACCCAGCAUUUUUGGAGACACUGGCAUCUGGCCUUCAGCUUUUCAAGAGUGACAUCCACCCCCAACCUGCAAGCAUCUGGCACAGCUCAGAGAGUCUCCUUCAGAUCCACAACUCCUUCACACCCUGCAAAUACACCGAAACAAGUGGUGGCUGGGGCAGCACAGAGCUUGCAGCUGGGGAAGGGUUGGAGGAGAGACCAAGAUGUGAAAUGAAAAUCUGUGGUCAGGAAACAAAUCUAAACCUGUGUCAGACAGAGGUGACAAGUUUCCCCACUGCUGUACCACUGCGUCUCAAGGCACCCCUCCAGUAUCUGUUCCCUUUAGGCUGCGAAUGGCAGCUGGAGUAAAGGCUUGUGCCUGGGGAGAUGCCUUCCUUCCUCUUGUAGGAAGAACUCCCUAUGAAAUGCUUUCUGUCUGUCAUGACAUGGGAUGUUUGUGCGGAGAAGUUAUUUGCUGAGUCGAUUUACUAGCCUCUCAACAUUUAUAAUAAAAGAUGCAGAAAAUGUUCUUAUGUAACUCGCACUUCUGGCCCCUUAAUGGGAUGCGUGCUCAUCAGAAGCUUCUUCCCUGCAACUCACUGCUCCUUUUGCACCAGUUAACUGCACUAGUUUAUGUUAUCCCUGUAAGGACUCACUCAGCCUAAGUUUGAAACAACCCUGUAGUUUGUGA